GUGUGUGUGUGUGUGUGUAUGUGUGUGUGUUUGUGUGUGUACACAUGUACUUUCCAGGGCCUGUGCAAUAAAAAGUGUGUAUGCUUUAUCCCCCAUGGACAUGUUCUAUGAACAUAAUAUACUAUAGUAAGGUGUUAGCCAAACAUAACAACACAUUUUUACAGAUUGCCAUGAAGUAAAGCGUACACUGUAUUUUUGCUGGCUGCAGUGAGCAUAAGCAAAUGAUCGAUGACCAGUUGCUAUAUUUACUGCGCUUUCGUUGCUACGUAUUUCAAUUUCUCUUUCACCAUGUGUGAGAUUGGUCUUGACCUCAUUCUUCCUUUGGCUGCGAUCCUCAGCCGUCUCUUCCAGGAGUUCUAAAGCUGACCUCUGUUGAGGCUACGCCCCUUCUGCUGACAUGUUGGUCGUAGCUUUGCCUGCGACGACCGUUUUUUUGUCCUCACUUCUGAAUAUUUUCGUAGAAAAGUUGUCGUCUUAUUUGUCUGUCUUCCGUGCUUUGCCUCUCAAGUAUGUGUUGCAUGGGUAGUGAAUUUACAUUUUGAAUUCCUAAUCAUUCCGGUAUCACUUUGUGGAUAAUUUCGUCCUUACAUUUUAUCUGAAGAAUGUCUUUCUAAGGCGUCUCAUAUAACACUAUUGAGGUUUUUUCCUGAUAAGAAUACACUGUCCAGGUCUCCCCAACGAAACGCACGGAGCCUAAACACACUCGUGAUACACUGUUUUCCGGAGCCUGAAAGUGAGAUUCCUUAUGCAGCAAAUUGUCUUUGACAGAGUACUGACUGUUGUGGACUUCUUGUCAAUUCUGACCUUCCACUCUUUUAAAAUGCUUGUUUGCCGGUCAUUCAUUUUGAUACCAGAAUACGUACGUACGUAAAUGGCAUCUCUGGAUAAAACAAAUUCAUCUCCCACUCUUCUCCCCCCCCCCCAACCUCGUGGGAAUGAAAUAGCAAUCAGUAUUACAAUUUAUAUUGCUAGUCCACCAGUGUUUCCUGAGUAUAAAUAUCCAUGCAGCGUUUGUGAGUGUAAUAACUUCGAAUUACUUACAACAGAUGAACGUUCAGUUUAAAUACACCUGAGAUGAAAAUAAUUUUUCCGAGUACCACUGUCUUUCCGUAUGAAUGCAGUAAGUAUCCCAGACAGCCCAAGUCUAGGUCGGGAGUAAGACUUUUGAAGUCAUCAUUUGAGUUUUGAACUUUUUCUAAAGUUCUUUGAAUCUCAACACGAUAGAACAACGUGUGAUUAAAAAUACCUGACGCAAAACAUUAUUUUUCAUUGAUCGUUUACAAGAAGGGAAAUUAAGAAAAAAAACAACUCUUGCCAUAUUGAAAUCCUCUGUUAGUAGCGUUGGAAUGAAGAAACCCAACUCUUCCCGAUGCUCUGCUUGGCUAUUUGAUGGUCAAUAAAUAAAGCCAUUGCAUAACUCUCGGAAGGGUCUAGCGGUAUCCGCAGUUUCCCACUCCAUUACCCGCUAAAUGCAGCACGAAGGUUCAAUCCGCUGGCUCGGGAGAAGUUUGUUUCCCCAGGAGCACGCUUUGUUUACCACAGCAUUAGUGAUGGCCGGCUAGUCAGGCUUUUGGGACACGCUCAGUGUCUUGAUGUUUCCCUUCCCCGGGACUGGCGGCCGGCGCUCGGGCCCCGCGGUACUACAGCAGAGCCAGUUCCCAAUUUGGGCGCGCAACAACGAACGUAGCCCGGCUCUGUAAUGUGGACGCAAAGAUCACGGCGUCUAUCCAUCAAAUCGAUAACGCACCAUGCGAGCAAAAAUUCCCUCCGUGCGGACUGUUCUGUAUUUGUACUGCGACUCAUCCAUCCGGCCCUAAAUCCGACGUUUAUAUCCAAAGUCAACGCGUCCCUAAACCACCGGUUGAGGCACCGGUUCAGAAUCAUUCAUCACGAUGACCAUCCGCCCUCCUCCCCUCCCUAAUGAUGUAUCGCAUAACUUCAUCCCCUCUCUGUUCCCCCCAGCCCCCACCCAAAUCCCUGGGUCCUUCUGGUCGGAAAUUGGUCAUUCUCUCUUGAAUGCGACUGCCACAAUCAGCAUCAUUCGAGGCGGUCGGGAAGGCGGGGGAUGGUAUUCUAACAGUACAGGGAGCAUUCAUUUGUUCUGUGAGGCGGAUCUCUCUUUCUGGUUCACGAGAAGGAGCACUCCGUAGAUUUCAAAAUAAAGUGCUUGCUUUCGCGGUCUGUGACGUAAUCUACUUCCGGUUAUUGCGCAUACGCGGCAAUCGGCCUCUUUUUUUGGCUAUUUAUUUUAAACGUCACCAUUGACUUAUAGCUGUCGCGGACAUUGCCCACACUCUCACAGUCAAUGGAGUGCGUGUGUACAUAACGGUGCGAAUUCUUACACUACUGUUUUCUUGAAGUAUUUAAUAGCGUGAGCCUAGUUUUUGAGUCAUGUGCUUCGAAUAAUAACAUGGUGGUUGCUUAAGACUAAUGAUAUUGAACAAACACGUACAGCAAAUGUUAUUUUCCGUCCAGAUACCACGUUGGAGAGCUUUCAUUUGUUUUUAAACUCUGACAACACAUCGUUUUCAAAUGCCACGAUUAUGAAUUAUUUGACUCGUCGCGUGUGACAAGUAAAAACAAGAAAAGGUUACUUUUCCCCCUCGUACAGCUGUUUCACAUAGCGUAUUACGUGGACGCAUCAGUCACCAAACAUGAAAUAACGAAUUUCAAAACCAAAUAAAGAGCACAACAGAACAACGAACCUCAAAACCAGUUUUAAAAAAGACCAAACCAAAACUGAGGACUUUAAGGAUAUGCUAUUUUUCUGGAAUUACUGCUUUCGUGCCAGUAUUUCGUGCAAAGAAUGAACGUAAUCCAGGAUUGUUGUCAAAAACGAUAGAAGAGGCAGGACGUUUCCACAGAAUUUGGAACAGAACGUUUCACAAUAUACGUUAUAGUUUGCUGCUUCGCUUCACAAUGGAUGAUACCACAGACGACUCGACUGAAGAAAUUUUAGAGUGAGUACAUACAUUACUGCUGUGUAGUUUUGAUAUAUAUUUCGUUUCUGUUUUAGUGUGUUACCUAGUUGAUUCCGUUCAAGAGGGGUAUUGCUUAUUUUCGAAAUAACGUUUUCAGGCGAUGCUUUUCUGUUGAAAAGCUGUCUGGUUGCUACAUUUUCAUAUUUUUGUGUGUGAAAAUAUUUUUCCUUUACUUGUGCUUCAGUGAUUGCCAUGAAAAGAACCACAUUUUGUUGACAUUAUGUAAUUACAGCGCACACGCUGAGUCAAAUCUUCCGCGAUCGAUAACGCACGCCCGUCUGGCUGAAAACUACCCUCAGUGCAGUCGGAAAAAGCCACCUGCCGCCCAACAUUAGGGUUGAUAAUGAUGCCUCCUCUCA